UGGCUCAGUGGUAGAGUGCUUGCCUUGCAUGCGUGAGGCCCUGGGUUCGAUUUCCCAG
rnacentral:tRNA from 1 species